CGUGUAGGCGGCCAAACAGGUCCGUUGUGAAAACUGGAGGCUCAACCUCCAGACGUCGACGGAAACCGUAUGGCUAGAGUCCGGAAGAGGAGAGUGGAAUUCCUGGUGUAGCGGUGAAAUGCGCAGAUAUCAGGAAGAACACCAAUGGCGAAGGCAGCUCUCUGGGACGGUACUGACGCUGAGACGCGAAAGCGUGGGAGCGAACA
rnacentral:rRNA from 1 species